rnacentral:misc_RNA from 1 species
GAUGAAGAACGCAGCGAAAUGCGAUACGUAAUGUGAAUUGCAGAAUUCAGUGAAUCAUCGAAUCUUUGAACGCAUAUUGCGUUCUCUGGUAUUCCGGAGAGCAUGCUUGUUUGAGUAUCAGUAAACACCUCAACUUCCAUAUCUUUUUUGAAAUGGGAGUUGGACUUGAGUGAUCCCAACGCUUUUCCUCACCGAAAAGUGGCGGGUUACUUGAAAUGCAGGUGCAGCUGGACUUUUCUCUGAGCUAUAAGCAUAUCUAUUUAGUCUGCCUAAAAAACAGAUUAUUACCUUUGCUGCAGCUAACAUAAAGGAGAUUAGUUCUUGUGCUGACUGAUGCAGGAUUCACAAAGACGGCUUCGGCCGACUUUGUAAACUCGAUCUCAAAUCAAGUAAGACUACCCGCUGAACUUAAGCAUAUCAAUAAGCGGAGGA